GGGGGUCUAGUUUAUAUUACAUAGAAUGUCGGCCUUGCAAACCGAAGGAUAGCUACCUCUA
rnacentral:tRNA from 1 species